UGCCUAUGAUGAUUGAAGUGGAAUUUUAUUAAUGAUUAUUCGUUGAUUAUGAACACACUACUGCCUUCCUUCUGAGGCU